AGUCUCCAUGGAUGAAGAUUGAAAGCAAUUUUAUCAGAUCAUAAAGUCAUCAAGAUGGUGAAAAGGGUAAGUCAAUUAAAUUGUAUAAUCAACAAAUAUUUAUUGAUUUCCUAAUUCAAACAAAGCAUUGUUUUGGAAACUGAGCAAAUGGAUGGUAACAGUUCUUUCUGUGUUCUGGAUUCAAGUUCUCUGUCAGAUAAAUCAUUUUUAAAUAUUUUUUCCAGUUUGUGUUUGCAUUUUGAAGCACAAAAGUAGUUAGUUUUGAUGAGGUCCAGAUAAUUUUGCAACUUACCAAAUCCCUUUGGUAUCAAAAAAUAAGAAAACCCCCACCAUUUGUGUCCUGGAAAAUGGCUUCAUGCAAAGACACAACUUCACUUAUAUUGCCUUGAAAAGGCUCACAGAUACCAAUCCUCCAUCCCAUUUGCCUCAUAAAUGAUAAAUUGAACUGUGGGUCUCCACUGGUCAACACUUAUAACAACAUUCUUGUUAACCAAGCUUUAAUUAACCUUCUUUCCUUCUGCUAGGUCCUUGAUCUUUGGCCCAUCUUCUGUCUAAGACAAUAUACAACUCUUCCCUAAUAGUCCCUCCUGUGAAAACUCUGGCUCCAGGGUUAAACAGUAUCUGAUACAUGUCUCAUCUCUGAUGAUAUCUGAUCAUGACACUUCUUACUCCCCAGAAAAGAAAAAAAAAAAAACAUUUUUUCCUAAGACUUCUGAUACUUGCAAAUCUUAUAUCAGAGAAUUGUCUCUAUUAGUUCUCCACCCCCUCUUGUUAUAAUCCUUUCAGAUAUAAUCUCUCUUUACUGAAUUGCUUUUUAUUUGACAAGUCCAAUUUAUGAACUUCACCUAUAUGAAUUUUGCUUUUGGUGUCAUAUUUAGGAUCUCUUUGUCUAAAGUAAAGACAUCAAGAUUUUCCUGAAGUGGCCUUUUAAAUAUUCUGUAGUUUUAUUUUAGAAUUUUAGAUCUCUGGCCCACUUUGAGUUAUUUUUGAUGUAAGGUAAAGGUAACAAUUCAUCCUUUGCUAUGUAGAGACAUCAUUGUUUCAGCAUACUUCUUUGAAUAUGCUUUCUUCUCUGCAAUGACUUUACUUGACACCAUUAUAGAAAGUCAAUUUAUCGCAAAUGCAAGGGUUCACUUCUAUACUCUCAAUUCUGUUUUAUUGGUAUGUAGGUCCAUCUUUUCAUCAGUACCAGACUCUAUUACUUUAGCCUUAUGUUUAUGUUCUGAAAAUUGAAAGUGAAUUGAAAGUUAUUCUGAUUUUUUAAAAUUGUUUCCCAUGUCCUGAUUCAUUUGAAUUUCCAUAGUAAUCUUUUCAUUUCAAUUUCUGCUAAAACCCUUCAAGAACCGUGAUAAGAAUUGUGUUAGAAUUAUAGGUCAUUUUGAGAAUUGCCAUCUUAACAAUAUUUACUCUUCAAACCUCUGAACAUGGAUUGUCUCUUUAUUUAGAUUUUCUUUAAUUUCUCUCGGAAAUCUUUUGUAUUUUUAAAUCUGGUACUUCUUUUGUUAAAUUUAUUCCAAAGUAUUAGAUUAUUU
rnacentral:lncRNA from 1 species